rnacentral:rRNA from 1 species
UGCGAGUUGAAUGGGAAACNUAAAGUUCCCAUGGCAAACUGCUCAGUAACACAUGAUCAACUUACCCUAUAGAGAAAAAUAACCUCGGGAAACUGAGGAUAAUGUUUCAUAGUUGAAUUGGCUUGGAAAAGUUUUUCGACGAAAGGGGUAAAAAGAAUGGUUUUUAUCUGCUAUAGGAUAGGAUCGUGUUCGAUUAUGGUUGUUGGUGAGGUAAUGGCUCACCAAGCCGAUAAUCGAUAGGGGCCGUGAGAGCGGGAGCCCCGAGAUGGGUACUGAGACAACGACCCAGGCCUUACGAGGCGCAGCAGGCGCGAAACCUCCGCAAUACACGAAAGUGUGACGGGGUUACCCAAAGUGUUCAAUUUUGAACUGUGGUAGGUGAGUAAUGUUCCCUACUAGAAAGGAGAGGGCAAGGCUGGUGCCAGCCGCCGCGGUAAAACCAGCUCUUCAAGUGGUCGGGAUAAUUAUUGGGCUUAAAGUGUCCGUAGCCGGUUUAGUAAGUUCCUGGUAAAAUCGGGUAGCUUAACUAUCUAUAUGCUAGGAAUACUACUAUACUAGAGGGCGGGAGAGGUCUGAGGUACUACAGGGGUAGGGGUGAAAUCUUAUAAUCCUUGUUGGACCACCAGUGGCGAAGGCGUCAGACUGGAACGCGCCUGACGGUGAGGGACGAAAGCCAGGGGAGCGAACCGGAUUAGAUACCCGGGUAGUCCUGGCCGUAAACGAUGCAUACUAGGUGAUGGCACGGCCAUGAGCCGUGUCAGUGCCGUAGGGAAACCGUUAAGUGUGCCGCCUGGGAAGUACGGUCGCAAGGCUAAAACUUAA